rnacentral:rRNA from 1 species
AGAGUUUGAUCCUGGCUCAGAAUGAACGCUGGCGGCGUGCCUAACACAUGCAAGUCGUACGAGAAAGGGGCUUCGGCCCUGAGUAGAGUGGCGCACGGGUGAGUAACGCGUGGGUAAUCUCCCCUUGGAUUUGGGAUAACUUCGCGAAAGUGGAGCUAAUACCGGAUAGUCUGGCUUUAGAUAUAAGGUCGGUAAAGGAUGCCUCUGCAUAUGCAUUCGUCCAAGGAUGAGCCCGCGUCUCAUUAGCUAGUUGGUAGGGUAAUGGCCUACCUAGGCAACGAUGAGUAACUGGUCUGAGAGGAUGAUCAGUCACACUGGAACUGAAACACGGUCCAGACUCCUACGGGAGGCAGCAGUGGGGAAUAUUGCACAAUGGGCGAAAGCCUGACCCAGCGACGCCGCGUGGGGGAAGAAGUCCCUCGGGAUGUAAACCCUUGUUGUACGGGACGAAGGAAGUGACGGUACCGUACGAGGAAGCCCCGGCAAACUACGUGCCAGCAGCCGCGGUAA